AGCAGAGUAGCUCAGUUGGUUAAAGAGCAUCUCGAAUAUACUGAGAAGGUCGCAGGUUCGAAUCCCGCUUCAGCCA